UUUUUGGAUUCAUUUGCUUUGCUAGUUCACCAUAGUCUUUCUUUUAAUUACAUAGACUCCCUACUGUAAUCACUAAAUUUUUAUUUAUCAACUUUAUUAAUUAUAAUGCAUAUUGGUAGCUUGAACAGGUCUCAGAAUGUUCUGUCAUAGAUACUGCUUUUCAGAAUCAGGACAGAUCUACUCCUGGAGCCAUAUAUAGGAGCUGCCACAGAUUCAACCUUUGAAAACCUGAAAGUCCUCAGCUGUUCCUAUGCCCCAUUGCAGUGAGCAAACAGCUGUGUAGGGUUUAGCUGCCACCUGGGGUUAAACCACAACAUGGAGGAAAUACUUGCUUUCAGGCUUGCACAGGAUAUCAUUGUUUAUGGAAAACACUAUUAGGACCUGGCUUUUACCUGCAGCAGGAGGGACAACUGAUUGACAAAGAUGGCCGCAGGGUCUUAGUCCCCUUAUCUAAGUAAUGCAUAGUAAUGCAACUUCCCAGUAAAACAGUUGGCUCUCAGGCUGACAUCCUGGCCCAGCCUUGGCCUGUCCCUGUCCCCACAACUCUG
rnacentral:lncRNA from 1 species